rfam:Rattus norvegicus chromosome 15, whole genome shotgun sequence.
GGGGAUUUAGCUCAGUGGUAGAGCGCUUGUCUAGCAAGCGAAAGGCCCUGGGUUUGGCCCCCAGCUCCG